CUGAACGAUAACGCCUAAGCCAUAAGCUAUUAAUUUUCGUACUGUUGUGAGGUAUUUCUUCGACAGAGAUGCACUGUACGUGGCCGGUUUCCGUUUUUGUAGCACUGGCUGUUGGACUACAUGCUGUCGUGGUUACGAGUGGUACAAAAAGUGAUAUUUAUGUCCAAACAAAGAAUGGUUCUUGUGUUUACCAUAACUUAACCGUACAAGAUAAAAGGGACGUGAAAUUGGAAUGGCCUUGUGCAAGAGUUAC
rnacentral:lncRNA from 1 species